rnacentral:rRNA from 1 species
AUCUUCGGACCUCGCGCUCAAGGGGCGGCCGAUGGCAGAUUAGCUAGUUGGUGGGGUAAAGGCCUACCAAGGCGACGAUCUGUAGCUGGUCUGAGAGGACGACCAGCCACACUGGGACUGAGACACGGCCCAGACUCCUACGGGAGGCAGCAGUGGGGAAUUUUGGACAAUGGGGGAAACCCUGAUCCAGCAAUGCCGCGUGUGUGAAGAAGGCCUUCGGGUUGUAAAGCACUUUUGUCCGGAAAGAAAACAUUCUCACUAAUACUGGGGGUGGAUGACGGUACCGGAAGAAUAAGCACCGGCUAACUACGUGCCAGCAGCCGCGGUAAUACGUAGGGUGCAAGCGUUAAUCGGAAUUACUGGGCGUAAAGCGUGCGCAGGCGGUUCGCUAAGACAGAUGUGAAAUCCCCGGGCUUAACCUGGGAACUGCAUUUGUGACUGGCGGGCUAGAGUAUGGCAGAGGGGGGUAGAAUUCCACGUGUAGCAGUGAAAUGCGUAGAGAUGUGGAGGAAUACCGAUGGCGAAGGCAG